AUGACUGGUUCGGUCGACACGUUCGCAGAGCUGGACCGUUCAAUCACCGGGAAGGUGCGGUUCAUAGACGGGUCCGUGGUGGAGAUCCAUGGGCGCGGGACCGCUGUCUUCACCGACAAAGGGGGUGAUCACAGGGCGUUCACGGACGUCUACCUUAUCCCGGCGCUCAAGAGCAGCGUCGUGAGUGUCGGACAGCUCGACGAGGGCUGGUUUGACAUCGGCAUCCAGCGCGGUGUUCUCACCGUGCGCGACCAGCAGAAGAGGCUGCAUAUCGAGGUAACCUGCUCGCCAAACCGCCUAUAUAAAUUCUUCUUUCAACCCGUGCAUCCUGUGGGCCUUGCCAUGGGUCAUGUCUCCGACGCGUGGCGUUGGCAUGCCAGGCUAGGACACCAGCACUUCGACGGGUUGCGGAAGAUGGCGCGAGGCAACCUCGUUCACGGGUUACCUCACAUCGAGCAUGUUGAUGAGCUGUGCGAUGCAUGUCUUGCCGAGAAGCAGCGGCGCCUGCCCUUUCCCGAGAAGGCAUGCUAUCGGGCGCAGAAACCCCUGGAGCUGGUUCAUGGGGACCUCUACGGUCCAAUCACCCCAGCAAUGCCAGGAGGGCGUCGCUACAUCCUGCUCCUAGUCGACGACUACAGCAGGUUCAUGUGGGUGCUGCUCCUCGCCUCCAAGGAUGAGCCGGAGCGAGCCAUCGUCAAGCAGCAAGCGGCAGCAGAGGUCGAGUGUGGCCACAAGCUGCGCGUGCUGCGCACGGACCAUGGCGGCGAGUUCACGUCAGACACGUUCUACAAGCACUGUGACGAUAAAGGGGUACAACGUCCCCUCACAGCCCCUUACUCGCCGCAGCAAAACAGCGUCGUCGAGCGGAGGAACCAGAUGGUGCUCGGGAUGGCACGCUGCAUGCUCAAGGCAAAGCAGGAGCCGAGCACGUAUUGGGGGGAGGCCGUGCUCACGGCCGUCUUCAUCCUCAACCGCUCCUUCACAAGGAGUGUCGACGGCAAGAGGCCUUACGAAGCGUGGUAUGGGAGGAAGCCUGAUGUACGCUUCCUCCGCACCUUUGGCUGUGUUAGGCAUGUCAAGACGACGCGUCCACAGCUGAAGAAGCUCGAUGAUAGGAGCACCCCAAUGGUGUUCAUGGGCUAUGAGACGGGCUCUAAGGCGUACAAGAUGUACGACCCCGUCUCAAAGCGUGUGCAUGUCUCGCGCGAUGUCAUCUUCGACGAAGAUGCGCGAUGGACUUGGGAGACGUAUGUGGAGUCCCCGACAAGCAGCUCCUUCACCGUAGAGUACCCGAUGUACUCUACAACCCCGGGAAGAAAGACGUCGGGAAUUGCCACGCCGAGAAGCCCGGGAAGUGUGGAUCCAGGAACCGCAACCCCGAGAACACCGUCCCCGAGUAUGGUGUCUCCAGACACCCCGACAUCAAGCAAGGUGGUUCCCGGGAGGCUGUUCGCGACCCCGCCAACAGCAAGGUCGGAGCUGUUUGACGCCGACGACAGCGUUGACGUCCCCCACAGGUUUCGGCGCAUGGGGGAUAUCCUCGGCGAGGCUGCGGCAACACCGCAAUAG
rnacentral:rRNA from 1 species